GACGAACGCUGGCGGCGUGCUUAACACAUGCAAGUCGAACGGAGCUAUUUAUUUCGGUAAACAGCUUAGUGGCAAACGGGUGAGUAACGCGUAGGCAACCUGCCCUCAGGAUGGGGACAACGGCUCGAAAGAGCCGCUAAUACCGAAUGACGUAACUCUUCCACAUGGAAGAGAUACUAAAGAUGGGUCAAACCAUCGCCUAAGGAUGGGCCUGCGUCUGAUUAGCCAGUUGGUGAGGUAACGGCUCACCAAAGCGACGAUCAGUAGCCGGUCUGAGAGGAUGAACGGCCACAAUGGGACUGAGACACGGCCCAUACUCCUACGGGAGGGCAGCAGUGGGGAAUCUUCCGCAAUGGGCGAAAGCCCUGACGGAGCAACGCCGCGUGAGUGAAGAAGGUCUUUCGGAUCGUAAAGCUUCUGUUGUUCGGGG
rnacentral:rRNA from 1 species